AAACUUUCAACAAUGGAUCUCUUGGUUCCGGCAUCGAUGAAGAACGCAGCGAAAUGCGAUAAUUAAUGUGAAUUGCAGAAUUCAGUGAAUCAUCGAGUCUUUGAACGCACAUUGCGCCCCCUGGUAUUCCGGGGGGCAUGCCUGUCCGAGCGUCAUU
rnacentral:rRNA from 1 species